NACUGAAGCUAAGCAGGGUUGAGCCUGGUCAGUACCUGGAUGGGAGACCUCCUGGGAAAAUUAGGUUGCUGCUGGAA
rnacentral:rRNA from 1 species